rnacentral:rRNA from 1 species
AGCAGCCGCGGUAAUUCCAGCUCCAAUAGCGUAUAUUAAAGUUGUUGCAGUUAAAAAGCUCGUAGUUGAAUUUCGGGAUCAAUACGUCGGUCGUGCUUCGGUACGUACUAACGUCAUUGAUUUCUCCCUUCUGACGAAUCGUGAUGUCAUUAAUUUGGUGUUACGGGGAGUUAGGACUGUUACUUUGAAAAAAUUAGAGUGUUUAAAGCAAGCAAUCGCUCGAAUACAUUAGCAUGGAAUAAUGAAAUAGGACGCUCGAACCUAUUUUGUUGGUUUCUAGGAUCGACGUAAUGAUUAAUAGGGAUAGUUGGGGGCAUUAGUAUUCAAUUGUCAGAGGUGAAAUUCUUGGAUUUAUUGAAGACUAACUACUGCGAAAGCAUUUGCCAAGGAUGUUUUCAUUAAUCAAGAACGAAAGUUAGGGGAUCGAAGACGAUCAGAUACCGUCGUAGUCUUAACCAUAAACUAUGCCGACUAGGGAUCGGAUGAUGUUAAUUUUAUAAUGACUCAUUCGGCGCCUUAC